GGGGAGAGAAAUCUACACAAACUCAUUCAUCUGUCAAUGGGGAGACUUUGCAUGUAUGCAUGAUUUCAAGGGGAGUGCAUAUGUUCAGGGGGAGUAUUUGGGAGUUGUUGAUAUGCUCUUGUUAUGCUCUUAUGCUCUUGUACCGAUCGCGUUGAGCUGUUUACCUCUUUUUGAGGAGCCAGUUUUUUAUUUGAGUUUGGAUUUUCAUGUGAUUGGUGUUGAGCCCAUUUUCUGCCUCUUCUUGCGGGAUCACAUGAUUUUAUCUCUGUUGUGUAGAGCCGUUGCCCUUAUCUUAGGGGACUGAGAUUUUCUAUUUUGAGUUUCUUGUUUUCUAUUUUAAUACUAUGAAUUUGUGGGGUGUUGUCAAUGCACUCAUCAAGGGGGAGAUUGAGGACCAAUGGUGGUCACCCUUGGAUGAUGAGUGAUUGACAACGUUGUGUUGGAUUGAUGUUGCUCUUGGCUUGUGAUGUGCAGGUGUAGGAUGCGACGUGAUAGUCGAUGGCGUGUGGUGAAGAUCAAGCGAAAGGUUCGUGCCAAUGGAC
rnacentral:lncRNA from 1 species